ACUAAGAUGGCAGAAUAAUUUAAUGUGUCAGAUUUAGGCUCUGGAUAUGGGGAGUUUAUCCUCUCUUAGUA
rnacentral:tRNA from 1 species